GUGAAGCUGGAUUCGCUAGUAAUCGCGCAUCAGCCAUGGCGCGGUGAAUACGUUCCCGGGCCUUGUACACACCGCCCGUCAAGCCAUGAAAGCCGGGGGCGCCUGAAGUCCGUGACCGAGAGGAGCGGCCUAGGGCGAAACUGGUUAUUGGGGCUAAGUCGUAACAAGGUAGCCGUACCGGAAGGUGUGGCUGGAACACCUCCUUU
rnacentral:rRNA from 1 species